UGCCAGCCGCCGCGGUAAUACGGAGGGUGCGAGCGUUAAUCGGAAUUACUGGGCGUAAAGGGUGCGUAGGCGGUUAAUUAUGUCAGAUGUGAAAUCCAGUGGCUCAACCACUGAACUGCAUUUGAAACUGAUUAACUAGAAUAUGUUAGAGGGAAGUGGAAUUUCUAGUGUAGCGGUGAAAUGCGUAGAUAUUAGAAGGAACACCAGAGGCGAAGGCGGCUUCCUGGAUCAUUAUUGACGCUGAGGCACGAAAGCAUGGGUAGCGAAGAGGAUUAGAUA
rnacentral:rRNA from 1 species